GACGAACGCUGGCGGCGUGCUUAACACAUGCAAGUCGAACGGAAAGGCCCUGCUUUUGUGGGGAGCUCGAGUGGCGAACGGGUGAGUAACACGUGAGUAACCUGCCCUUGACUUUGGGAUAACUUCAGGAAACUGGGGCUAAUACCGGAUAGGAGCUCCUGCUGCAUGGUGGGGGUUGGAAAGUUUCGGCGGUUGGGGAUGGACUCGCGGCUUAUCAGCUUGUUGGUGGGGUAGUGGCUUACCAAGGCUUUGACGGGUAGCCGGCCUGAGAGGGUGACCGGCCACAUUGGGACUGAGAUACGGCCCAGACUCCUACGGGAGGCAGCAGCGGGGAAUAUUGCACAAUGGGCGGAAGCCUGAUGCAGCAACGCCGCGUGCGGGAUGACGGCCUUCGGGUUGUAAACCGCUUUCGCCUGUGACGAAGCGUGAGUGACGGUAAUGGGUAAAGAAGCACCGGCUAACUACGUG
rnacentral:rRNA from 1 species